CUUAUCAAGAGAGGUGGAGGGAUAAGGGCCCUGUGAAACCCGGCAACCGGCUUAUUAUAGUACGGUGCUAAUUCCCCCGGGACUUCCGGAAGAUGAGA
rnacentral:ncRNA from 1 species